rnacentral:rRNA from 1 species
UAGGGAAUCUUCCGCAAUGGACGAAAGUCUGACGGAGCAACGCCGCGUGAGUGAAGAAGGAUUUCGGUUCGUAAAACUCUGUUGUUAGGGAAGAAAAAAUGUAUAGUAACUAUAUACAAAAGAGACGGUACCUAACCAGAAAGCCACGGCUAACUACGUGCCAGCAGCCGCGGUAAUACGUAGGUGGCAAGCGUUGUCCGGAAUUAUUGGGCGUAAAGCGCGCGCAGGUGGUUUAGAAAGUCUGAUGUGAAAGCCCACGGCUCAACCGUGGAGGGUCAUUGGAAACUAAUAAACUUGAGUGCAGGAGAGAAAAGUGGAAGUCCUAGUGUAGCGGUGAAAUGCGUAGAGAUUAGGAGGAACACCGGUGGCGAAAGCGGCUUUUUGGCCUGCAACUGACACUGAGGCGCGAAAGCGUGGGGAGCAAACAG